AUGGCUGUGGACCUGCAACGCCUGCGCCACAAGUUACUCACCACCGGCGGCCACCACCAACUCGCCUCCGCCGCUGCUAUGCCAGCGAGUGGGCCUUGUUAUGGCGCUGCGGUGCCGAGCCAGCGGGGGCACCAGCCGUACGCGGACCUCUUCACGCUGCCGCCGCCGCCGCCGAUGUCGUCGUCGGCCCCGUAUCAGUGUUCGGAGUUCUUGGCGAUGGCCGCGGCUGAUCUGGCGAAGAAGGGCGUCAGCCCCGCCGGUGCUCAGGAAAUGAUUACCAACAAGCGGAAGCGCGACGAGCGGUCGUCGGUUCUUGGCGCGGCUGACGUUCUCCCCGCCCACGCACAACAGGAGGCUAUCGCCGUCGACUGCAUCCUGCUCAAACAUGCGAAACAGAUGUGGACUACUUUGGCGGAGCAAGGGCAGAGCCACACGAAGCGAAUCGUCUCGGCCGUGGAGGCCAGGGCGGCGAAGCGGCUCAAGGCCAAGGACGAGGAGAUUGAGCGGAUCAGGACCAUGAACUGGGCACUCGACGAGCGCCUGAGGAACCUCUUGAUGGAGGCUCAGAUGUGGCGCGACGUCGCGCAGUCCCACGAGGCCACGGCCAACGUGCUCCGCGGCGACCUACAGCGGGUGCUCGACGCUCAGGCGGUCCGUGGCAGUGGAAGCGGCGACGGUCAGGAGGACGACGCCGAGUCGUGCUGCUGGGGGGAGAACCAGGUGCCCCUCGGCGCGGAGGAGGAGGUGGGCACGCCGGUAGUGGAGGAGCGUCCGGCGACAGGAACAAGAAUGUGCAAGGCGUGUCACGACGGCGCGGCCGUUGUGCUGCUGCUGCCGUGCCGGCACCUCUCUGUGUGCGCGCCGUGCGCGGCCGCGGCGCAGGCGUGCCCGGCGUGCGGUAGCGCCAAGAAUGGCAGCGUCUGCGUCAACUUUUCGUGA
rnacentral:rRNA from 1 species